CUGCAUCUGUGUCCUCCUGAAAAACAGUUGUGCAUUCUCACUCCGUGUCUUCAAACAUCAAAUUUGAACAACAAAGUACCGAAGGAUGACAAAAUGUUCUCUUGAAUUGGCUUCGUGUUAAGUGCUCAGCGCAAGCAUGCUCACAACAUGCUUACAAAACAUUCAAAUUAACCUACCUCUUUCAUUCACAAGAUGGCACUGCAGUCAUUGUUGGAGGGAGGACAAGCUGCAGUCUGACAUCAGAAAUUAAAAGUUAUACAAAGGAUGUGAGUGGCGGUUUUGUGUGCAGAGCUGCAAAGCAUCCACAACAGCCGUUAUUAAGUGCAGUGCAUCAGACCCAUCAACAACUAAAAGCAGUGGAUGGCGCCACUUACCGUGAAGUGAGUGUACCCCUCAUGACUGAGGCCAGCUGUCACUCAUCACUGUGACACCAAGGAGAAGCAGGAUGAAGACACAUGAGAACAUGAGUCACCUGAGGAGCGACUUUGUGAAAUAGAUGGAGAUGUCAUACUCAAAUUACCGGGACGCUCUCCCCGUCACACAGGAGCAGUGGGAGCUGUCUAGGGUGUCUUGCUCCACGUCUUUAAAUUAAUGAGCCGUUUGUCAAGUGAGAAUUCAUCAUAGUAGCACACACACUUAGGUGGUGUGAAACAGACUGAUUCACAUCAUCCUGUCCCCUGAGUGAUGUUGUUUUAACACGUCACAAUGAACAAGGCUGUGAAAGCCUUGCCUAAGAUUCCUACGCGAUAUUAUUAUAUAUAUAGUGAAGUAAAAUGUGCGAUAAUAUUGGAUUCUGGAGCCUGGAAAAGGAAGUUUAGAGAGUAAGGGUGAAUGACAAGAAAAAAGAUAUUUGAACAUGAGUCAUUUUGUUCUUAUCACCAUUUUUUAAUACAAUAUGCUUUUAUAUUUAUGUUCCUAGUUGCAAUCUUCUUGAGUUACUUGACAAUAAGAAUAUUCUGGUUUAUUUGCUUCCUAUUUAUUUUCCUAUUCUAUUUACUUGUUUAAUAUGAUGCAGCAGAAACGCUGACAAAUUCCUUAUAUGUUUAAACCCACAAGG